rnacentral:rRNA from 1 species
UGGUUCAGGACGAACGCUGGCGGNGUGCCUAAUACAUGCAAGUAGAACGCUGAAGGAGGAGCUUGCUUCUCCGGAUGAGUUGCGAACGGGUGAGUAACGCGUAGGUAACCUGCCUGGUAGCGGGGGAUAACUAUUGGAAACGAUAGCUAAUACCGCAUAAGAGUAGAUGUUGCAUGACAUUUGCUUAAAAGGUGCAAUUGCAUCACUACCAGAUGGACCUGCGUUGUAUUAGCUAGUUGGUGGGGUAACGGCUCACCAAGGCGACGAUACAUAGCCGACCUGAGAGGGUGAUCGGCCACACUGGGACUGAGACACGGCCCAGACUCCUACGGGAGGCAGCAGUAGGGAAUCUUCGGCAAUGGACGGAAGUCUGACCGAGCAACGCCGCGUGAGUGAAGAAGGUUUUCGGAUCGUAAAGCUCUGUUGUAAGAGAAGAACGAGUGUGAGAGU